CCGUAUGCAACACAGCAAGAGAAGAACAAGCCCCUUAGGAUAAUGACAAAUCCUCAUUCCAAUUCUGACAGAAUAACUUAAUCUAGGAGCUGAUACUGAGAUGGGAUAUGGGAAGACACCUUUUCUUUAGAACAUUUGCAAAGCACCUCUAGGCCUUAUUUAUUUGACUUGCUGAAAUUCAACAUUCAGGAAGUAAUUACCCUUGCUUCCCCUUGAAAAUAUUAAGCAUCUCUGAGACGACCUUUCCAGAUACAUUAUUUUUUUUUAACUUUUUCUUCAAGCUACCUACAUAAAGCAUUUUCUAUAAUUUA